rnacentral:rRNA from 1 species
UACGUAGGGACCAAGCGUUGUUCGGAUUUACUGGGCGUAAAGGGCGCGUAGGCGGCUUAACAAGUCACUUGUGAAAUCUCCGGGCUUAACUCGGAAAGGUCAACUGAUACUGUGCGACUAGAGUGCAGAAGGGGCAACUGGAAUUCUCGGUGUAGCGGUGAAAUGCGUAGAUAUCGAGAGGAACACCUGCGGCGAAGGCGGGUUGCUGGGCUGACACUGACGCUGAGGCGCGAAAGCCAGGGGAGCGAACGGG